ensembl:lncRNA
CUCUGGUACCCAAAGGGAUGCUGUGGGUGCAGGUAGUAUUCCUGGUACCCAUAGGGAUGGUGUGGGUACACGGAGCAUCUGGUACCCAAAGGGAUGCUGUGGGUACAGGUGGUAACAAAGGGAUGCUGUUGGUGAAGAUGGUACCCAAAGGGAUGCUGUGGAUACAGAGAGCAUCUGGUACCCAAAGGGAUGCUGCGGGUACAGGUAGUAUCCCCGGUACCCAAAGGGAUGCUGUAGGUGCAGGUGGUGCCCAAAGGGAUGCUGUGGGUGCAGGUGGCAUCCCUGGUAUCCAAAAGGAUGUUGUCGGUGCAGGUAGUAUCCCUGGUGCCCAAAGGGAUGCUGUGGGUGCAGGUAGUAUCCCUGGUACCCAAAGGGAUGCUGUAGGUGCAGGUAGUAUCCCUGGUACCCAAUGGGAUGCUGUAGGUGCAGGUGGUGCCCAAAGGGAUGCUGUGGGUGCAGGUGGCAUCCCUGGUAUCCAAAAGGAUGCUAUGGGUGCAGGUAGUAUUCCUGGUAUCCAAAGGGAUGCUGUGGGUGCAGGUGGCAUCCCUGGUACCCAAAGGGAUGCUGUAGGUGCAGGUGGUGCCCAAAGGGAUGUUGUGGGUGCAGGUGGCAUCCCUGGUAUCCAAAAGGAUGCUGUGGGUGCAGGUAGUAUUCCUGGUACCCAAAGGGAUGCUGUGGGUGCAGGUGGCAUCCCUGGUACCCAAAAGGAUGUUGUGGGUGCAAGUAGUAUCCCUGGUGCCCAAAGGAAUGCUGUAGGUGCAGGUGGUGCCCAAAGGGAUGCUGUGGGUGCAGGUGGUGCCCAAAGGGAUGCUGUGGGUGCAGGUGGCAUCCCUGGUACCCAAAGGGAUGCUGUAGGUGCAGGUGGUGCCCAAAGGGAUGUUGUGGGUGCAGGUAGCAUCCCUGGUAUCCAAAGGGAUACUGUGGGUGCAGGUAGUAUUCCUGGUAUCCAAAGGGAUGCUGUGGGUGCAGGUAGUAUCCCUGGUAUCCAAAAGGAUGUUGUGGGUGCAGGUGGCAUCCCUGGUACCCAAUGGGAUGCUGUCAGUGAGUAUGGUGCCCAAAGGGAUGCUGUGGAUACAGAGAGCAUCUGGUACCCAAAGGGAUGCUGCGGGUGCAGGUGGCAUCCCUGCUACCCAAUGGGAUGUUGUGGGUAGAGAUAGCACCUGAUAUCCAAAGAGGUGCUGUGGGUGCAGGUAGUAUUCCCGGUACCCAAAGGGAUGCUGUAGGUGCAGAGAGCAUCUGGUACCCAAAGGGAUGCUGAGGUUGCAGGUGGCAACCCUGGUACCCAAUGGGAUGCUGUGGGCACAGGUGGUGUCCCUGGUACCCAAAGGGAUGCUGUGGGUGCAGAUGGCAUCCCUAGCACCCAAAGGUAUGCAGACCAUCCCUCAGGGUCUGUACACAUCGCCAGCUGUGCACACACACAGGGCAUGCACUCAGAGCCUGAUUUUGCAGGGUUUCUCACAGAAGCUCACCUUUGCAGGACUUCCUGGGUCGAUUGCCUGCAGCGAGCCCUGCACACAGAGCAGCCCCAAGGCUGCACACAAGGUUGCAGCACGGACGAUGCCUGCAGCAGGCGCCAGCUCCAUCCUGCAGCCCCGCAGCCCUCCAAAAGCUGCACUGCUCUUUGCAUCCGGCCGCCCUUUGAUAGCACAGCAGGAAGCCAGCAGCGCUCAGCUUUCUUGCAAACCUACCCACAUUCAAAUAAAUCUCCCCAAAAUAACCCAUAGGAACAAUGUGCCAUAGCCGGGGUGAGGUGCCGAGCGCUCACUUUCACACUUUCCACCACAUUUUCCCUCUGCAGCCCCCCAAUGGGCCGCUCUCCCCACGUGCUUUCUCAGCAAGCUUUCUGCUCGUAGAACAGAG